rnacentral:lncRNA from 1 species
AUCAAAGAGCCUUAAAAUUGACAUUUUUAAUGAUUGGUAUAGAACAUUUCCUAGUUAACGGUAUAAAAUGAAAUUGAAUGAAUUUUUGAUACAAAAUUCUAUUCACUAUAUAGAAUAAGAUCAAAAACUCUUAUCUUAAAUUUAAAAACCUUAUCUCCUAUUUUUAGGAGAUUGUACGAUUUUAAACAUUCAUUUUAUACCUAUUUUAUAAACUUUAUUAUAAAUUCAAAAUAUUACGAAAUUUGAUUUCUAGAUACUUUAAAUGCUCUAGAUCAUAUUUAACUUAAUCCCACCUAGGGAUGUCAAUGGGUAUGGAUUCCCGAAAUUUUAUCCGAAUCCGAACCUAAAUGAAACGGAUAUAUCCGAUGGAUAUGGAUAUAGAUUCGGAUAUGGAUAUAAAAAAUAAAAACCAGAUGGAUAUGGAUUCGGAUAUGGAUU